ensembl:misc_RNA Metazoa_SRP Metazoan signal recognition particle RNA
GCCAGGCAUGGUGGUGCAUGCCUGUAAUCCCAGCUACUUGGGAGGCUGAGGCACGAGAAUUGCUUGAACCCAGGAGGCGGAGGUUGCAGUGAGCUGAGGUCACGCCACUGCACUUCAGCCUGGGCAACAGAGCAAGACUCUGUCUUAA